rnacentral:rRNA from 1 species
AGAGUUUGAUCCUGGCUCAGAUUGAACGCUGGCGGCAGGCCUAACACAUGCAAGUCGAGCGGAUGAGAGGAGCUUGCUCCUGGAUUCAGCGGCGGACGGGUGAGUAAUGCCUAGGAAUCUGCCUGGUAGUGGGGGACAACGUUUCGAAAGGAACGCUAAUACCGCAUACGUCCUACGGGAGAAAGCAGGGGACCUUCGGGCCUUGCGCUAUCAGAUGAGCCUAGGUCGGAUUAGCUAGUUGGUGAGGUAAUGGCUCACCAAGGCGACGAUCCGUAACUGGUCUGAGAGGAUGAUCAGUCACACUGGAACUGAGACACGGUCCAGACUCCUACGGGAGGCAGCAGUGGGGAAUAUUGGACAAUGGGCGAAAGCCUGAUCCAGCCAUGCCGCGUGUGUGAAGAAGGUCUUCGGAUUGUAAAGCACUUUAAGUUGGGAGGAAGGGUUGUAGAUUAAUACUCUGCAAUUUUGACGUUACCGACAGAAUAAGCACCGGCUAACUCUGUGCCAGCAGCCGCGGUAAUACAGAGGGUGCAAGCGUUAAUCGGAAUUACUGGGCGUAAAGCGCGCGUAGGUGGUUUGUUAAGUUGGAUGUGAAAUCCCCGGGCUCAACCUGGGAACUGCAUCCAAAACUGGCAAGCUAGAGUAUGGUAGAGGGUGGUGGAAUUUCCUGUGUAACGGUGAAAUGCGUAGAUAUAUUAAGGAACACCCGUGGCGAAGGCGACCACCUGGAUUGAUACUGACCCUGAGGUGCCAAAGCUUGGGAAGCA